rnacentral:rRNA from 1 species
GCACGUAGUUAGCCGGUGCUUAUUCUUCAGGUACCGUCAUUAGCAUUCCGUAUUAGGAAACACCGUUUCUUCCCUAACAAAAGGGCUUUACAACCCGAAGGCCUUCUUCACUCACGCGGCAUUGCUGGAUCAGGGUUGCCCCCAUUGUCCAAAAUUCCCCA